UCUCCGUUGGUGAACCAGCGGAGGGAUCAUUACUGGAAUCGCAAGAUCCCACAACCCCUGUGAGCCUACCGAAACGUUGCCUCGGCGGGCGCCCGGCCCCUCGCCGGGCGCUGAGCCCGCCGGCGGCCCCCUCCUCUUUUCUCUUCAGCGUGGCAUCUCAGAGUCCCAGAAAACAAGUAAAAACUUUCAACAACGGAUCUCUUGGCUCUA
rnacentral:misc_RNA from 1 species